UGGGGAAUAUUGCACAAUGGGGGGAACCCUGAUGCAGCGACGCCGCGUGAGCGAAGAAGGGAUUCGUUUCGUAAAGCUCUGUCCUAUGGGAAGAUAAUGACGGUACCAUAGAAGAAAGCCCCGGCUAACUACGUGCCAGCAGCCGCGGUAAUACGUAGGGGGCGAGCGUUGUCCGGAAUCACUGGGCGUAAAGGGUUCGCAGGCGGAUAAACAAGUCAAGAGUAAAAGGCAUGGGCUUAACCCAUGUAAGCUAUUGAAACUGUUUAUCUUGAGAUGUGGAGAGGUAAGUGGAAUUACUAGUGUAGCGGUGAAAUGCGCAGAUAUUAGGAGGAAUACCGGUGGCGAAGGCGACUUUCUGGCCAUAAUCUGACGCUGAGGUACGAAAGCGUGGGUAGCAAACAGG
rnacentral:rRNA from 1 species